GCUUAUGGCCAUACUGCUCUCUGCAAGCCUGUUCCUGUUCUGAUCAUAGAAGCUAAGCAGCGUCAGGCUUGGUAAUUACAUGGAUGGGAGACCAUUCUGGAAUACCAGCUGCUACAAGCU
rnacentral:rRNA from 1 species